UGGCCACCUCUAUCCAUACUCUCAUUUUCUGGUCUAAAUUGUAUGUUAUCACUACAGAAUCCUAGAGCUGAGGUAAGGAUUCAGUUUAGUGGGGAGAAUGCUUGCCUAGCAUGCAGGAAUCCCGGAGUUCACUCUGCGUCCCUACAUAAUGUGGUGGUGCACGCAAGUAGCACACGUGGUGCUUAUCACUUGGGAAGUGAAGGCAGGAAGAUCGAAGAUUCAAGGAGGGGUUGCAGACAAGGAAUGAGUCCCGUACUCAGGUGACUUCUUGUGAACCAAUCCCCUAAGGAAUAAAGAAGCCAAUCACUGGGUGAGUAGGCGGGACUUCUGGGUUGGAUGGAGGAAGAGAGGAAGCAGGAGAGAGUUAGGUCUUUUUUGGACGGGGAUAGCGUGAGGACAAGAUUUAAUUAUGAGUGGCUCCUGGUUUCAAUGGUGGAUCUGUCAGGAUUCGCCACAGGAGGAUUUAGAUUUAAUAAGACUUACAGAUUAGAAUUUUAGUUGAUGCACUCAGUGAUUGAGUUUAUGUUGUUUCUGAACUAAGCUUGUGUUGUGUUUUCCUUCACACAGCAGCUUGUCGGGGUUCAAGAGAGAAAGAUACGGUUGGCAAAGCAUGGAUUUGCCUGAGGUGCACCACAAAGAACUCUCAGCUACUUUUCCAUCAACAUGUUUGCCUGUGUGUGACCAUACUUCCUGCCAUGAUGAAAAUUGACUAAAUUUCUAAAACUGCAAGUUUCAAAACAUGGAAAAGAAGACAUAAAUGCACAAAGGCAUCUCACAAAACUGUCACAUAAUAUAAAAACACCAGAACUGAGCUGUUAAAACCAUGGCUCAGGAUUCAUCCAUGUAUCUCAGCAACACAUUCAGUGCCUUAAGGUGAGAAAAUACAGUCUGACAGAAGAAAAAAAAAAACCACUCA
rnacentral:lncRNA from 1 species